UGAUUAAUGCAUCAACCCCUCUAUCUUCUCUCUUGCUCUUCCCCAGGCCGCCAUUUUUUUUGGUUUCUCAACCCCCUUCAUUUGAAUUUAAAUUUUUGCUUUUAAUCUUCCUCCAUAUGUGCCCAAUUACCAUUGUUCAUUCCCACCAUCUUUCCCUACUACCCAAUUAUCUGUUAUCGUCUGUCCUAAUUCUAAUUUCAUAAACCCUAUGAAAAUCCAUAGCCUUUCCCUCCCUGAAACCCUUAUAUAUAAGGUCCUCAAUUGUGAUCCCAUGAAUCUCAUUCCAAGGACGGCCAACCCAACAGCCAAAUCAAUUUUCUUCCCCACUACUCCCUUGCCUCCAUACCUUCCUUUUUCUCUCAAUGUUUUCUUCUUUCCGGUGCAAUUUGAAAUCCUGUUCUCUCCCCUCUCCACAGUCAUCAUCCUCUCCCCCUCCUUCCGUCGCCUAACCCCUGAAACUCUCCUCAUCAUCUUCACGCAGAAGAGUUCUUCUCUGCCACAAAGAGUUCAUCCACCGUCGCCGACAACAACAUUGUUACUUACCCUGCUUCUUUUGCUUACUGCCGUUCUCCUUUACUUGCAGGAAUGAUUUCAUUCACUUGGAGGGACAACUUCUUAGAGGUGGCUCUGCAGCUAUUAGUGUUGAUUUAGCUAAUCAUGAAGUUCAACAAUUGGCACAUCCUACCCUUCCAACGGAACCGUCGCGGUGGAAUUAUAUGCAGAAGUGAUUUCUUAUAGAUUAAAAUAGCAGGGAUGUUCAUCUCAAAAUCCGAAAAUGAGCAGACUCAGGAAAAGGAAGUUGAAGUUGAUGGAAAUAUGAAAGUUGUUGUCCCAGUCAAUGGCAACUCUCAGGACUCCCUUCAAGCCGAGGAUCAUGAUUCUCCUCCUUAUAAAUGUCCCAUCCCUAUUGACGCUGAAGCCAUUGCAACUGAUUUAGCAAGCAAGAAGCCAUUGAAGAUUGUCAAGGAGAAAAUGUAUUGUUAUUGAUCUUGCUUUUAUUUUUUGAUGUAUUUUGUUGGUUCUUUGAGCCGUGGUUACCCUUUUAAGAUCCUUGAUUUAGUUUUUCUUCUUUUCUUUGUUUUCUAUUUCAAGUUGCUCUAGGAGCUGUGUACCUGGAUGUAAUGAAUGUUUCAACUGAUAUUAUGUUCAUCCAUUUGUUUGAUGCAAUGGUUACAGUUGUCAAUCAGUAUUAUUUUCAUUAGAUAUGUUUUUUUUUAAUUCAUUAGAUAUGUUUUUUUUUUAAUUCAUUAGAUAUGUUUUUUUUUAAUUCAUUAGAUAGGUUGUAGAGUUAUAUUUCCAAAUCUGUUCUUGAAUAAACUUUUUACAAAAAGUUGUUUAUUUGAUAUUUUUCCUACGUUCUAUCUUUCAACUUUUUCCUAUUUUUACGGUAAAAUGCAGGUUAUCUUUUUUUUUGAAAUUAAUAAACAAAAAGUUCUUUCU